rnacentral:rRNA from 1 species
GACGAACGCUGGCGGCGUGCUUAACACAUGCAAGUCGAACGAAGAGCGGUGGAAGCUUGCUUCUAUCAAUCUUAGUGGCGAACGGGUGAGUAACGCGUAAUCAACCUGCCCUUCAGAGGGGGACAACAGUUGGAAACGACUGCUAAUACCGCAUACGAUCUAAUCUCGGCAUCGAGGAUAGAUGAAAGGUGGCCUCUACAUGUAAGCUAUCACUGAAGGAGGGGAUUGCGUCUGAUUAGCUAGUUGGAGGGGUAACGGCCCACCAAGGCGAUGAUCAGUAGCCGGUCUGAGAGGAUGAACGGCCACAUUGGGACUGAGACACGGCCCAGACUCCUACGGGAGGCAGCAGUGGGGAAUCUUCCGCAAUGGACGAAAGUCUGACGGAGCAACGCCGCGUGAGUGAUGACGGCCUUCGGGUUGUAAAGCUCGGUUAAUCGGGACGAAAGGCCAUCUUGCGAAUAGUGAGAAGGAUUGACGGUACCGGAAUAGAAAGCCACGGCUAACUACGUG